UACCUCACCUGGCAGGCGCUAUGCCGUGAUCACGAAGGCGUCCACCCAGGCGAGGCUCUGCCACUGCGCUUGGGUGGUGCUGACCCUUGCGAAUUCCCCAAAUGCAGGAAUCUCAACUGCAUAAUUUCUGGUAGUGGGGGACUGCAUUCGCUUCCCCCCU
ensembl:snRNA U1 U1 spliceosomal RNA